UGCAAACCUGACUAGGGUGGGUUCAAGACAAAGAGAUGGGAGAAACUGGAGAAAAGAUGAGACAACUAAGCCACAAGAAUUAUCAUUGUGGAUACCAAUGAAAGAACUCUGGUAUGGAACCAAAAUCGCCCUUGGGAACUUCAGAGGCUGGCAGUACUUCGAGAUGGAAAAUAGAAAGCAAUGACUAGAAGAUUGGUAGUCUGCAGAAGGAAGAACUAAGUAAUUUGCAAAACUAAAGAACAAAACUAAAAACAGGGCAGCAUUCUGCGCUGGAAUCUACUGAAAGGAAUAAAUAAAACCAAAUACUUGAA